UCUCUCUCUUUCUCCUCAGAUCUCCAGGCUCAAAGCGUCAGUCCACCAGCUGAACUCUCAGUCAGACUGGUGAAUGGGACCACUUCCUGUUCUGGGACAGUGGAAGUCUUCUACAGAGGAGAGUGGUCAGGUCUAUGUACUAGUGGGUGGUGGUGGAGCAUGAUGAGAGAGAUUAAGGUUGUGUGUAGAGAGAUGGACUGUGGGAAUCCUGUAUCUGAAUCUAGAGGACCUCUGAUUGAAGAUGGAAGAAGAGGAGUCAG